GGGCCAGACCCAGAAUGAAGAGCGGCGCCCAGCAGCUUCUCAGAAGGGCGUACUGGUCACCCGGCGGCAGCUGCUUGAAGGCCGAGUGUUACCCAGAAGCUUUAAAGUGUUGCAGAGGGGAAGUUCCAGGAGAAGAGGUAAACCCUGGAGCAGCAAAGUCAAGUUAUUUUUCCCACUGGGUCGGUGGACUCCCGGCUCUGUUGUGUGCACGACGAAGAGGAACAUGACUCCACGCUUCACCUCACGGCAAAUACGGCCGAUUCCAGGCUCUGUUUGGACAAGGUCAUCAACACCAAGAUCAGGCUGUGAUUGUUGAACAAAUGUUCUCAGAAAUUAAAGCCGCAUUUAUACUCGUA